AAAAGGGGAAGGGUAGAAAAUAAAAGACAGGUCAUUGGGCCCCAAUCAAUAGAACUUGUCCUAAUCUAAUUAGGCUUUUGGCCCACUUACACCUGUCCUAAUCUAAAUGUUGGGCCUUUGCCCGUAACCUGUCCUAAACUAUUUUUCGAACCUUUGGGCUCGAGUUCGCUUCACCUGUAUUAGUUUACAACUUUGGCUUCGAUGCCCAAAUGAUAUGAAUAAAAUAAAUAAAUAAAUAAAGACAACAAUAAAUAAAUAAAUGAAAUGAAAAAAAUGAGACUUUCAAGUCUUUUGACCCCUUCAAAAAUGGAUUCCAACCCAUCCUUCUUCUUUCGACUCCUCGUAUCCAUAUGUCAUGAGAUUGUCUUUUGAACUUAGUCUUUUGAAAAUGAUUCAAGACUAAAUGGGCCUCAAUAGCCCAUAAUGGACAUGCGAAGGGAAAAGAGUCCAUGUAGGACUCGAACGCAUACACAUGCAAAAGAAAAGUAAAGCAGUUAAUAAAUGUCCUAACAUUAAUAUUCAAACAAAAUGCUAAAAUAUUAGGCAUAUUAUUUAAUAAUACACAAAAAAAGGUUACACUAAUUUAGCCAAGAUAAAUUUUCCUUCGAGAUUUCAAUAGAAAAUCAUUCACUCAUUGAUCCGAGCGUAUUUGAAUGAGUUAGGAGCAAUAAAAGAACAAGUUUAUGCACAACACGCAGGGAAAUUUAAUCCAUAAGUCAAAUCAAGAUCUAAGUGAACCAGUGAAACCCCUUUAAAGGAACAAGAAGGGAAGAGGAAAUUCCUGGAUGUUAAUCAAUAAAUGAGCAGGAAAAAGAACAAUCUAACCAAAAGGCAAACCAUGAAUUUUAUGUCAAUACGAGCCUCUCAACUUCGAUAUGAACAAAUAGAGAAAAACUUUCAAAGGGGUCGUGUACUCACAUAAUCGGGCAGUUUAGGGAGAAUUACUUAUGUUUCCUCUAUUUGAUUAAACGUAAUAGACUAUGACCCCCUAGCCAUUGAGAAUCCACCCCACAUUAUGUAUGGGUAUGUUUACCCUUAAUUAACACUAUAAAUCAGAGAAAACAGACAAACAAUUUGCAAACACAUAAUCACUGGGAUAAACAAGGGAGCAUUUAGGCGAAACACAGGCAAAGCUAGAAACUUUCAUCACAAUAUAUAGCAAAAAAAAAAACCAAGGUUGGUCAACUUAUACAGUGAUCUAAAAAUAAUACAGUUAUUUUGGAGACAAUGCAAGAAAAGGAAAUGCACAAAUAGUCCCCAAUCAUAUGAAAACAUUGUUAUUUCGUUAUCCCUACGAAAUAAUUUAUUGUAAAAAUGGAGCCUUGAUGCAGAUAGGAAUGAAAGAACAUUGUUACAUGGAAUUUCAACCAUGAACAAGCAAUGAGCGAAAAAAUUAGCCAACAUUCUGACAGACCAUAUGUUGAAAAAAAUAAAGCUCUCUUCUUCAUUGAUCGAUGCAGGCAAAUCAACAAUCAAAAGCCAACUAGUUAACUAGACUGCCGUUUCAAAUACUUUUCAAUCUUCAGCUUCGAACGUAUAUAUUCUAAUCGACCCUAAAGACUUAACAGAUCAUGAGAUAUAAGAUCAACAGAUCAUGAGAUAUAAGAUCAACACAACUCUCGAUCCUACUUUAUCCAUUUACAUCCCCAAAUACCAAAUGAAACGGUGUUUCAAAGCACUUCUAUGCUAAAUUCUUCUUUCUGAUUAGCUAUGGGCAAGUAAACAAAUUGAUAGGCUACACAAAAUAAAGUCAGCUUUAUGCAAGAAAGGCACUCCUAGUAUGUCACAAGUGUAUCCAAAAAUCAGCCAACAUUCAUCACAACCUAUGAAUUUCAAAGUCUCAACAGCGAACGUCCCAGCAUGCAUACAAUCCAAAAUGCUACUAAGAAAUGACCAGAUGAAGAAGAAAAUAAAAUCGAAACUAAUUGGAAUAAGGUAUUACCUGUUUCGGAGCAGCAAAAUAAGACUCGAGCUAUCUUCGGACUCCACCACCACUGUGAGUUGGUCUUUCAAUGAUUCUGAUCAAUCGACAGACAGCUUCGAGAAAUUUUUUUUAAAAAAAAAUAAUGAAAUUUUUUUUUCUUUCAACACUGGUUUUCUAACCUUUCGAGACCCCCUAUUUCAGCUCAUGGAGGAGCUAUUUAUAGCGUAUGAAAAUGGAGAUGGAUUUGGGUUCCACUGAUGUGGGGUAUAAG
rnacentral:lncRNA from 1 species